AACUCUUGUGUAAGGAAGAAGUCGAAAGAAUAGUACUUUUUAAAAUGGUGCCUUUGCUGUAAGAAGCAGAGCACCUCCGAAACUCAUGGGAGCAUCUUAGGUCUCAGUUUACUGAGGAGGGAAAUGAGAGUUAAUGAUUUGCCUGAAGUCAUGAAACCAGUGAUGAAGAAGCAGCAUGGAUUAGAGUAGUUUUUCACCAUUUAAGAUCUUGUUAAAAUACAGAUUCUGACUCAAUAGUUCUGCAGUGGAGACCAAGGUGCAGCAAUUCCAACAAGUUUCCAGGGCUGCACCCCUGGAUCACAAUUUGA
rnacentral:lncRNA from 1 species